CCUGAACGCUGGCGGCGUGGCUAAGACAUGCAAGUCGCACGGUGUAGCAAUACACAGUGGCGAACGGGAGAGUAAUGAAUCGCUAACGUACCCCGACUCUGAGAUAGCUGCCCGAACGGGACGAGGUAAUAUCAGAUAAUAUAACUUACAGGCAUCUGUGAGUUCUCAAAGGUACCGCCGGUCUGGGAGGCGGGCGGAUUUCGUAUCAGCUAGUUGGUGAGGUAACGGCUCACCAAGGCGACGACGCGUAGCCGGA
rnacentral:rRNA from 1 species